UUGGAGAGACAGUAAACAGACCCCAAAGGUUCACUGUUACAAACAAAAAUAGUGGAAAAACCGAUGAGGCUGAGCCGAGAAACUGCCAACACACCUCAAACGUGAGACCAAAAAAAAACUGGAUGGGGUCCCAACCAAUGUAGUCAGGUUCGCGCACCGGGUCGUAGGAUCGUACGAUCCUACGUGCUCAUGAAGGCUAAACGAGCUAAGAACCCAUGGAGGUUCGUUUUUGGGGCUUUUUGAAGUCAGGUUCGCGCAUUUUUGUGGUGGUGCGUAAAGCAGAUACCAGGUUCGUAAAAAAAAAACGAUUUGGGUUUAAAAUUGGUUGGGCCUUGCAGUCAAACCGGGUCGGGUCAAGACACAGAGUACAAAACACGCUUCUUUUUUCUCAGAAACCCUAAGAAAAAUACGCAGAGAAGAAAGAAAGGCCGUCAUGUGUAUUCUCAAUUCUUCAAUCGUGAUUCAGCCUUGCUUCCUUCAUAACAUCUCGUUCCUUUCCUUUUGUUUCCUUUUGUUUCCUUUU
rnacentral:lncRNA from 1 species